rnacentral:rRNA from 1 species
GAUGAACGCUAGCGGCGGGCUUAAUACAUGCAAGUCGAGGGGUGGUAGCAAUACUACACCGGCGCACGGGUGCGUAACGCGUAUGCAAUCUACCUUUAUCUGGGGGAUAGCCCGGGGAAACCCGGAUUAAUACCGCAUAAGUAAGUAACUCGGCAUCGAGUAGCGUUGAAAGAUUUAUCGGAUAAAGAUGAGCAUGCGUAAGAGUAGAUAGUUGGCGAGGUAACGGCUCACCAAGUCUACGAUCUUUAGGGGCUCUGAGAGGAGAAUCCCCCACACUGGCACUGAGAUAAGGGCCAGACUCCUACGGGAGGCAGCAGUAGGGAAUAUUGGGCAAUGGGCGCAAGCCUGACCCAGCCACGCCGCGUGCAGGAAGAAGGCCCUCUGGGUUGUAAACUGCUUUUGACUGGGAAGAAAAGAUUCCUUGCGAGGAAAGUUGACGGUACCAGCAGAAUAAGCCACGGCUAACUACGUGCCAGCCGCCGCCGUAACAC